rfam:Colinus virginianus strain Texas jcf7180006227067, whole genome shotgun sequence.
UGCAGAUGAUGUGAAAAAAUGCUUGCUGUCUGAACAGCAGUGCUGACAUCCACAACCACCAAGAUCGCUGAUGCA